GUCCACGCCCUAAACGUUGAAUACUCGAUGUGUGCGAUACACUGUACGCGUCCAAGAGAAAUCGUUAAGUAUUCCACCUGGGGAGUACGCUCGCAAGAGUGAAACUCAAAGGAAUUGACGGGGCCCGCACAAGCGGAGGAGCAUGUGGUUUAAUUCGAUGAUACGCGAGGAACCUUACCUGGGCUUGAAAGUUAGUGACCGUUCCUGAAAGGGGACUUUCCGCAAGGACACGAAACUAGGUGCUGCAUGGCUGUCGU
rnacentral:rRNA from 1 species